rnacentral:misc_RNA from 1 species
UGCUAGUGAUUUUGAACCAGAAGAAAAUGGCGAGGAAGAGGGUUUUGAGGAGGAAGAGGAAGAGGAUGAUGAUGAAGACACUAGCGGAAAGGUGGAGGCCCCGCCAAAGAGGAAGAGAUCAAGCAAAGAUGAUGACUCUGACGAUGAUGAUGGCGGAGAGGAUGAGGAUGAGGAUGAUGAGAGACCAUCUAAACGAUAGUCGAUAGGCCCUAUAUAGUAUAGAGGUCAAUCCCCCUUCAUGUAUGAUGGAUGAUGGUUCUUGUAGUCCUUAGUUCUAAUCACUGUUGGGAUUAUGACACCAUUUUAGUUUAGUUUAGUUUAAGAACUUUGGUUCAAGAUUUUUUUUUUAAUUGUAUGUGUUGGUGUUUUUUAGUUGUUCAACUCUGUUUGGUCUGCUAUUUUGGUGCAAGUAUUUAUAUAUGGUGGGCG